rnacentral:rRNA from 1 species
GCAGUAGCCGCGGUAAUACGGAGGGUGCAAGCGUUAAUCGGAAUUACUGGGCGUAAAGCGCACGCAGGCGGUCUGUCAAGUCAGAUGUGAAAUCCCCGGGCUUAACCUGGGAACUGCAUUUGAAACUGGCAGGCUAGAGUCUUGUAGAGGGGGGUAGAAUUCCAGGUGUAGCGGUGAAAUGCGUAGAGAUCUGGAGGAAUACCGGUGGCGAAGGCGGCCCCCUGGACAAAGACUGACGCUCAGGUGCGAAAGCGUGGGGAGCAAACAGGAUUAGAUACCCCUGUAGUCCCUGUCUCUUAUAA